rnacentral:lncRNA from 1 species
CAACUUUGCUAUCUUAGAACGGAUCACCAGUGAAAGAGGGGAAGUUGCUACUGUGAUGAAUUCUGCCAUGUGGUACCAGACUGCUGCCCAGACCACAGUGUCCUCUGCAACCCUGCUUCUCAGAUGACCAAGAUGGUGCUGCCGAUGGUGUUGAGGACGGAGAACCCACCAAGCCCCGUUAGGAGCCACCUAGACUGGAUGCAGAGCACAGUGAAAAUGGAGGUUCCCUCCUCCUGAGGCUGAGUGUGGCUUCCCUGGAAGACCUCACUGACCCCAGAGUGGCAGAAAGGCUGAUGCAGCAGCUCCACCAGGAACUCCACGCCCAUGCGCCUCACUUCCAGGUCUCCUUACUGCACGUCAGGAGAGGCUAACAGACAUCAGCUGCAGCCAGGCAUGUCCCGUACGCCCAAAGAGAGUGCUGCCCCUGGCCUGGGCCCCCACCGACAGACUGCAGCUGCGUUACUGUGCUGAGAGGUACCCAGAAGGUUCCCAUGAAGGGCAGCAGGUCCAAGCCCCUGACCCCAGAUGUGGCAACAGGACCCUUGCUCACGUCCACCGGAGUGUAUGUGUGGGGAGGGGCUUCACCUGUUCCCAGAGGUGUCCUUGGACUCACCUUGGCACAUGUUCUGUGUUUCAGUAAAGAGAGACCUGGUCACCCAUCUGUGUGCUUUCAUCCUGUAUUAGAAUUCACACAGCGUGGCCCA